CGUAAUCUCCCAAACAUCCGUUGUUAACCACUUCACCCCCUCUGGAUCCGUGCGGCAAGGUAAGAAAAAAGCCUGCGCGGCUUGGCCCUCUCUGCAUCGUAAAGUGCACAGGCAGGCGGGUGUAGCAGCUCCUCUCCUCUCCUCUGCUCUCCGGGGCUGAGGCUGAGGCUGAGGCUGGCUUCCACUGCGGAUAGAGAGCGGAUGGAGGCCGGGCACGGAGCAGGACACCAAGAGGACAUAACAACAAACCUGGCACGGGGGAAAACAGUGGAGCGACUUGUGGUCGUUAAGGAGUGGCUGGCACGAGUCGUCAAGCCAAGCCGGGGCAUGUGAGGUGCAAACGAAGAAGCAACGGAGACGGAAACAGCGGAGGUGUCGGGGCGUCGCAUGGCGAGCCUCUCUGAUGUUCUGGAUCACUGGGUUUCCUGGUCUUCACUACGGUUUGGCAUGCCUUGCGGCUCUUCAGGGGAAGAUGGAAAUCGGACGUCCGUGGGGAGAAGAAAUUGCAUGCCAACAGCACGUCGUUGGUGGAGUUCUUUUCUUUCUUUUUUUUUUAUGGGAGGCGUGUUUUAAGGAGCUCCGUUUCGUCCUCAUGUGGUCCGUCCCAGGGAUGAAAAAUGGCGCGCAGCUGGCUGAGUACUUCCUUCCCCUUGUUGGGGUCAGCAGUUCACCGUGCUGAUAGAGACCCUCACACCUUCUUUAUUAGGAGCUCCUCUACACUCAGACAAGUUGUUAUUCUGCAUCACUGGACAGCUGUCAGCACUGCCUUUGUCUAGGUUAUCUCUGAUUACAUGACUUCAUCUUUGCAUGAAGAGGAGACUAAGAAAACCUUUGCAACACCUUUUCUUUUUCAAAUUAAUCAUACUGUUAGCCUUUGCUCCAUCAGAAAGAUUUUGUUAUUCGGGGAAUAAAUAUUUACUUGAAAUCUGAACAAGAACAGGGACAUCUAGAUGUGUGAAUUUAAGAAACAGCAAUAUUUGCUUUACAGAUUUGUUUCUCCCCAUCAAAGGAAACUUAGCAUUAAUUUUCUUACCCAGAAAGCUUUGAGAUGGGAAAUGGUGGCCAACUUUGACUUAGUUGGCAACUGUUUCCAACUAAGUGGAAAAACCCUUUUAAAACAGUUUCCAACCAGUAUCUAGACGUCUUCUCCAUGUGUCCGAGUGAUUUGUGUAGGCAAAAAAUAAAUUGAGGUCAAUGUUGUCCCACCUGUACUAUACCUCUGAGCUGCCAAGUAAGCCAGUCGAGGUUUAAAUCAUUUAAGCGAAAUUAAGUCACAAUAUGUUUCCAAUUUCAGUUCUGUGUUAUGAAUAUAAUAAAAAAAAAAGGUUUUUCAUUUAAUUGUCUUUUGAAAUUGGCUAAACUCACAUGUUCUAAGCCCUUUUUUUGGACAUUUUGUACUUAUUUUUGACACGUUAUAAAGACAACCUGAUGUUGUAGAUGUCCAACAUCAGGUUUCAAGAUGCCAUGACAUGUCAAAGUUAUAUUGGCUUAGGACAUUCCAUAGAUUGUAAAUAUUUGCUAGUCACCAUUCACAGAUAGAAGAAAUUGAGUGACAUUCAACUCUUAAUCUUUAGUGUUUUGCAUGAUAUCAAACCAUCUGCAGCUGUAACAACUUAAAAUUUUCUAUGAAGGCUUUCUGUAAUUUUUAGAUGUGUGUUUUAUUUGUUUUGAACAAUUAUCCACAAGAGCUUGCAGUCUCCACUAAUUCAUUCCAAAUCAUCUUUUUGGUUGAGGUCAAGACCGUCUGGUUCGUUCACACCAAACUCGCUCAUCCGUGUCUUUGUGGAUCUUUUGUUUGUUCCACUGAAAAGUUGUGCCUCGGGAUCCACUAAGACUCACCAAGACUGUGACUUCAUGUCUUAGUUGACAAAGCCUUUCCACUUCCCUAUGAUACCACUAAAAGCUGACUACGGAACGAUUUGUAGGCAGAAAAUUUCACAGCUGGACUGGCUGCUUAGGUGGCAUUUCAUCACAAUACACCAGGCUGUAUAAAUAGUCUAGUAGGAUUAGAAUAGUGAUAAUAAAGGUGUCCAAAGUUUGUAGUUUCUUGUGGUGGACUGCAGUCCUUCCUGCGUUCACCGGUAAGACUCAUGAGAGUCAGAAUUUGUAAAAUAAAAAUCGCAACCUCGACUUGUAUAAUAUUUUCCAGUAAGAACUGUAUCACCCAACUGACUUGCAAAACAUGGUGGAAAAAGUAAGUGAAACUGUAGUUUCAGUGUGUUCAUGCAGGUGUAUUAUGAAUUAUGAAGGAAUUAGGUUUUUGGUCGAUAUCCGGUAUGCCGAUAUACUAACUCAUUUGGCCGAUAACCGAUACCAAAUUUUUCCUAUACUUAUUGAAACUAUAUGGCUUUCUCUGCUGUGGAAUUAAAAUACUGCAUUAUCUUUGA